ensembl:lncRNA
UUGCUGCUUUGCCUGCAACGUCCUGAAUGUUAAAAUAACCCAUGAUGAUGAAUCAGAGUUGCAAGAGGCGUUGCUAUCAGAAGACCGGAAAGAUGUGAAUAUAAAAACAUUGAGAGGGACAGAGGUACAGACCUAGCUUCUACUAAACUGUUGAGAAGAAUUCAAAGACUAGUGAGACUGAAGAAGAAAGAAUGGCAAGCAACUACACCAAUGAGACUAUGGCCAAGAUCAGCGGCUCUGACCUUACGGAAAUUAUGGGAAUACUGACGGAGGCAUUUCUGAAUAUGAUGGAGGAGGAAGAGUCCCAAGAGCCCCCCAGGAAGGUGGAGGCCAAGGUCUUGCUGGAGACCCAAAUCCCGACUAUAGAACACUGUAAAGAGUGUGAAAGUGAUGGGAGAGGCCGUACCUUUAUCUGUGAAGAUCCGAAGGGAGAUUACAUAGGAGCAUGCCAACAUGAAAUAACCAAUACACAGCUACUGAAGCAAAAAUUUGGCCAGUACCUUACCAUUGUAAAGCAGAGUACAAAAAAUUGGCCCCAAAAUGAUAUCAUAAGAGAUCCAGUACUAACAGAAGAUGACGUCAAACCAAAA